UGGGGAAUAUUGGACAAUGGGCGCAAGCCUGAUCCAGCCAUGCCGCGUGAGUGAUGAAGGCCCUAGGGUUGUAAAGCUCUUUCACCGGUGAAGAUAAUGACGGUAACCGGAGAAGAAGCCCCGGCUAACUUCGUGCCAGCAGCCGCGGUAAUACGAAGGGGGCUAGCGUUGUUCGGAUUUACUGGGCGUAAAGCGCACGUAGGCGGACUUUUAAGUCAGGGGUGAAAUCCCGGGGCUCAACCCCGGAACUGCCUUUGAUACUGGAAGUCUUGAGUAUGGUAGAAGUGAGUGGAAUUCCGAGUGUAGAGGUGAAAUUCGUAGAUAUUCGGAGGAACACCAGUGGCGAAGGCGGCUCACUGGACCAUUACUGACGCUGAGGUGCGAAAGCGUGGGGAGCAAACAGG
rnacentral:rRNA from 1 species